GGCAACCCACUAGGGUCGCCUGCUGCACUGUGGAAGCUUUGUUCUUUUGCUCUUUGCAAUAAAUCUUGCUACUGCUCACUCUUUGGGUCCACACUGCUUUUAUAAGCUGUAACACUCACCGCGAAGGUCUACAGCUUCACUCCUGAAGCCAGCGAGACCAUGAGCCCACCGGGAGGAACGAACAACUCCAGGCGGCACUGCCUUAGGAGCUCAUCGCGAAGGUCUGUAGCUUCACUCCUGAGCCAGCGAGACCACGAACUCACCAGAAGGAAGAAACUCCGAACACAUCUGAACAUCAGAAGGAACAAACUCCAGAAGCACCACCUUAAGAGCUGUAACACUCACUGCGAGGGUCCGCGGCUUCAUUCUUGAAGUCAGUGAGACCAAGAACCCACCAAUUCCAGAUGCAAUCCCAGCACUCUUGGAGUCUGAGGUGGAUGGAACACUUGAGGCCAGGAGUUCGAGACCAGCCUGCACAACAUGGCAAAACCCCAUCUCUACUAAAAAUACAAAAAUUAGCCUGGCAUGGUGGCACACUCCUGUAAUCCUAGCUACUCGGGAGGCUGAGGCAGGAGAAUUGCUUGAACCCGG
rnacentral:lncRNA from 1 species